rnacentral:misc_RNA from 1 species
GAUGAAGAACGUAGCGAAAUGCGAUAAGUAAUGAGAAUUGCAGAAUUCAGUGAAUCAUCGAAUCUUUGAACGCACAUUGCGCCCCCUGGUAUUCCGGGGGGCAUGCCUGUUCGAGCGUCAUUUCACCACUCAAGCCUCGCUUGGUAUUGGGCAACGCGGUCCGCCGCGUGCCUCAAAUCGACCGGCUGGGUCUUCUGUCCCCUAAGCGUUGUGGAAACUAUUCGCUAAAGGGUGUUCGGGAGGCUACGCCGUAAAACAACCCCAUUUCUAAGGUUGACCUCGGAUCAGGUAGGGAUACCCGCUGAACUUAAGCAUAUCAAUAAGCGGAGGA